GGUUAAGCGACUAAGCGUACACGGUGGAUGCCUAGGCAGUCAGAGGCGAUGAAGGGCGUGCUAAUCUGCGAAAAGCGUCGGUAAGCUGAUAU
rnacentral:rRNA from 1 species